CUUACUUAGAUAAAUAUCUAAUUGAAUUGCUUGCUUAACUCUUAUCCGCGCAUCCUUUAGUUGCAAGCAUAUUCAAAUUGUUUAAUCAAGUUUCUUUUAAUAAAACUGCAUUAAGAUUCAUUAUAUUGAAAUGCUUGCUUGGAAAAUCUAGACUAAUUGUCUAUUGAGUCCGCUCCUUAAUAGUUUUAAUCUUGAUCAGAUUAGAAUCAAACUAUUGCUAAGUUUAAAUUCCACUGUGCAUCUAUACAACUUAGCUUAAUUAAUUGAAAAGUUUAGAAGUAGUUGAAAAGUUUUUUAAAAGACCCAAUUCAUCCCCCCUCUUGGGUUGUAUCUACUGGGCAACAAGUGGUAUCAGAGCAGGUGCUCUAAAGUUAAUUGUUGAUCUCACGAUCAAGAGCCAAAGAUCAUGACAACUCAAAUAGAUAGUUUUCUAGAA
rnacentral:lncRNA from 1 species